GGGGGGGGCAAGCGUUGUUCGGAAUUACUGGGCGUAAAGGGUGCGUAGGCGGUCCGCUAAGUUAGAUGUGAAAACUCUGGGCUCAACCCAGAGCCUGCAUCUAAUACUGACGGGCUAGAGUUCUGGAGGGGGUAGCGGAAUUCCUGGUGUAGCGGUGAGAUGCGUAGAUAUCAGGAGGAACACCGGUGGCGAAGGCGGCUACCUGGACAGAGUCUGACGCUGAGGCACGGAAGCUAGGGGAGCAAACAGGAUUAGAUACCCUGGUAGUCCUAGCCCUAAACGAUGGAUACUUGGUGUGACUGGGAUUGAAUCCAGUCGUGCCGAAGCUAACGCAUUAAGUAUCCCGCCUGGGGAGUACGGUCGCAAGGCUG
rnacentral:rRNA from 1 species